rnacentral:pre_miRNA from 1 species
AGGUUGACGGGGGGUUUGCAAGUAUAAACCACUGCAAACUCAUCGUCAGCCUUCUC